rnacentral:lncRNA from 1 species
UGCAAUUCACCCCUUAUUUGUCUGUGUUGAAGCUAUGGCGAUUUGGUGAUAAGAAUUCAGCAAGAUACAGUUAGUUGUUCAUGGCCGCUAUGGCCUUUACAAAAUCAUCGUUUGAUUAUAUUUCUCCUCCUUUCAGUUACCCUUCUUCAAAAACACUUCAAUUACCCAAAAUUCAAUCUUUGCAAAACUUUAGAGCCAAAAGUAUUAGAAUUUACUGUUCUUCCC